GUGUGUGAUGGAAACCAAGUUUAUUGGUAGGUAUGAAAGCCACCCGUCGAUGUCUGGCCAGGACGACUGGAUGUGAGAAGGGAAGCAAAUUGCCGUCAAACCCCCUCUUGAUUUUUUUUCUUUUUCCGCUGUCUCGCUUUUCAUUUAUUUUUUUUAUUUUCCCCACUUUUGUUUUACAUUUUUUUUCAUUUUUUUUUAUUUUCAUCCAAGUGUUCUUAGUCGGGGAGAGAGUUCAGAGGCGAAGGAGCAAUGGCCGACAACAGGGACAGUGAAAGAGACGUGAUGAGACGAUGAGAUGAGAGAAUAGAGGAGAGGGAGGGCGAGAAAGAUGAGUGACAGGUGAGACGAGGGACAGAAGAUGCUAAUUGAAGGAAAAGACGAGACAAGAAUAAGAAUAAUGAAGCAGGAAAAGAGCGUGUUUGAUCCAGAGAGGGAGGAAGUGAGGAGAAGAAGGAGGAACUGCAGACGUCCCAUGCAGACAACCAGCCGAGUCGCCCUCUGUUGGUCAUUCCAGAGAAAACAGGCGUCAGGCACUUUUGCGGUGGCUUCACUUUUCCGGAUGCGGUGACCGCGGAGCGAUCCAGAAGACGUGAGGUGAGCUCAGGUAUCGCACGUUUCAUAACUGAUCAUGUGUUGUGUAACAGAGCGACUGGAACUCGCAGUACAUUCAUUCUUUCUCUUCCCAUGCAGGCGUUCGCACAUGGAAGAGUUUACGUCCGUGCUCGGGCCCUUCAUGAACGUCCAAACCAGAGGAAAGUGAACCGAGACAAGUCAUUUUCCCCUCUUCUGGGUUCACAGUUUCGAGGAGUUAUACGUGUUCUAGAGAAAUUUAAAGGACCAUUAAGAGUCUUCUUUUUGAAUGUCCACUGCCAAGUCAAGUCUUAAAGUUUACUUAUUUCCGUGAAACUUCAGCUCACAGAGACGUGAAACGUGAUCGGGAACAUGGAUCCAUCGUGACGGGAAUAUGCCAGUUUCUUCUCUUCACUUCUUCUUUGAUCGAUCUGAUCUACCAGGCCACUGACCAAUUGGCAGCCCGGAGGACGGACGCCACUCUGUGAACACGAGGGGGGGAGAGGACGACAACCCCGACACAACCAUCGGGCAGACACCACCGGCGAAUGGGGGCGGGGCCAGCAGCAGAAUCCAGGAAGUCCAGGGUGUUACGACCAAGCGCCAACACCCACCAUGACGUCACCCAUUGAACUGACCCGCGGGCCAAAUCCAGUGGCUGCCGCCGCCUCCGCCGCCGCCGUGUGGUGCCAUGGAAAAUGACUCUGCCGCUUCCUCUGAGCUCGGGAAAACACAGAGCUCGUGACGAGCAGACCGGUGUUCUGAGGCGAAGCGUCCUGUUGGAUGCUUCCCGUCUAUCAUCCGACACCUGCAGGAUGAAAGGAGACUCUCCUCCGGGAACUCAUUCCUCAACUACACGCCACCUGACAAACUGUCUUGUCAAAUACACGCUGUGCGGGGAGCGGAAUGCUUCACGU